rnacentral:lncRNA from 1 species
AUCUUUGGUUUACAUUGCAGUAGUUCACUCACGGGACAUGUGGCAUUCAAAGCACCCCUACUCAUGCGAAAGAUGAACCACAUAGGGAACACUAGUAAACAACAUAACAUCUUCCCGACCUUUAGCUCAUGACGCUGAUUAAGAGUCUCGUAAAUUUCAGUUAGGACAACCAAGACUGGACUCUCAAAGCAAACUUUUUAUCCUGUAAAUGCACUCAUUGCGGCGUAGCCAACAAAAUCCCUUGUACUAGGAAAAAGCAUGACACCAUAGUCGAUAAGAGCUAGUACAUUCACGUGCUUCCCACUUUUCCUCCUCGGUCAAUCAAUGCAAGAACCACCUUGAGGAAGGUCCCUUGUUAUACCUUUAAGUAUGAAUUCACUCUCCAACUUCAUAGGGGGAACUUUCAUUAUCCUUGCUAGCUGCAAAUCAGGUAUAUACUGCCCAAGGUGGUAUGAAGUGUUUCCCUUGAGGAAUACAUCUAGGGUCUCCUCAAAUUCUUCUAUUGUUGGCAUCAACUAGAAAUGGAUCAUAGUGUUGGGCUAAAACAAUAAUUGUUGUUGUCUGGACCUCCACCUCUGACAGGAUCAACANAUUCUCACUCAUUCCUGAAUGCAUUUUUCAAGGUCAUCUUUUUCAUAUCCCUCAAGAGAUUGAUUCUGCCCCCCUUGACUUCGAUGCGUAUGCUUUUCUUCAAAAAGUUUGAACUCAAAUACCCCUUGACUCAAAAUCCCAUGUUAAUUUCCAUUUUUACCGUAAUCACAACUUUAUAAUUUCUUGACUAGAACUCACAAAAUUUUGACAAGACCAUAGAAACAUGAGCAACAAAGAAAGAAAGAAAAAACAAUGUAGUGAUAUGUACAAGAUGCUUGAUUUUAUUAAACAAAAGUGAGGGUUAUAAGGAUACACACAUCUCCCUUUGUGCCCUAGUGAAGGUUCAACAU